GUGUGGUUGAUUCGUCCCACACGCCAACGAGGGAAAAAUAAAACACAAAACACAGCCGAAAAUAUCGGGUGUGAAUGGCGGUAGC
rnacentral:ncRNA from 12 species